GUGCUUACUUCAGCAGUACAUAUACUAAAAUUGGAACAAUACAGAGAAGAAUUAGCAUGGCCCCUGCAAAAGGAUGUCAUGCAAAUUCAUGAAGGGUUCCAUAUUUUU
rnacentral:snRNA from 1 species